CUUCCUGCUCCUUUGAUGCUGCUCGGCCUGCUGUGUUCAUCCAGCUCUACACCUUGUUAUCUCAUUUUUAGUAAUUUGUGCAACACGAGCAAUCCAACCUACCGCUACUAUCGAUGCUGCCUGACCUGCAGAUAUCCAGCAUUCUCCUGUUCUUCCCCAGAGGAUCUCUGAGUCACAGAUCAAUUCACAAAGAAAUUGUCAAAGAGGGAGACAAGAACUGGACACAGUACUCCAGAAGAGACGUCACCAACAUCUUGUACAAUCUCAACACGACGUCACACCUGCUGUGUUCAAAGGUCUGAGUGAUGAAGGGGAGACGGUGCCAUCAUGUGGAUGUCACAGGACUCAAUGCAGAGACACAGGCUGAUACUCUUGAAGAAGGGUCUCAACCCGAAACAUCAAACUUUCCUGCUCCUCUGAUGCUGCUUGGCCUGCUGUGUUCAUCCAGCUUCACACCAUGUUAUCUCAGAUUCUGCAGCAUCAGCAGUUCCUGCUAUCUCUGAUACUCUUGGGAUCGGGUUCAAAUGCCACCACAG